CCCUGUUAUUCUACUUUUAUAUAAUAUUUCAAAAAAAAACAAUACAAUAAAUUUGACGGUAUUAACUUUUACAAAGGAAUUUGUUUCUUAAUCGAAAAUACACGAAAAAUCUUACUUAAUCAUUAUUUGUAUACCACCGUAUAAAGCAAUUAUUAAAAAUUAAUUACAAAAAAAAUUAUUUUUAAAUAUCAGGUCAAGGUGCAAUUUUAUUAAGAUGAAAUGAAUUACAUUUAAAAUUUUAUAUUCAUAAAAACUGAAAAAAUUUUUAAAAAUAGAAUUUGUUAGUAAAAUUUUAUCAUUAUGUUUUUUUGAAAACCAACAUUAAUAUGUACAUAUCGCCCG
rnacentral:rRNA from 1 species